AUGCGAGGAGAGCGGCUUUUGGUUCUAUUUUCUACUGUCUGCUUCUUAGCUGAAGUCAUGAUGGACCAGUCACUUUUGGAAAUUCAUGGAGCCCUGAAUACUUCAGUGCUUCUCCCUGGACAGGAUAUUGCUCUAUCUUCUGUCUUCAAUGUGGAAUGGAGAAUCAAGCAGUCCCAAGAGGUGUUGAUCCUGUCCUUCUCUCCCUCAUCCAAGAACUUCUACACUAAUGAAGCUUACUGGCAGCGAAUCUUCUUCUCUCCCACCAACUUCUCCCUCCAGUUUCACAGUUUGCAGUGCACAGAUGAAGGAUUCUAUACCUUGGCCAUCCAGCUCCAAGAGAAGUUCCAAGUGAACAACUACAGGACUUGGCUGACAGUGAGCAAGUCUACUUAUGAAAACAUGCGUUCAACUCAGCCACCCCUUUAA
rnacentral:lncRNA from 1 species